UACUGCACUCACUUCGGCAGCACAUAUAAAACACUGGAAUGAUACAGAGAAGAUUAGCAUGGCCCCUGCACAAGGAUGACAGGCAAAUUCAUGAAGCAUUCCAUAUUUUU
ensembl:snRNA U6 U6 spliceosomal RNA